ensembl:lncRNA
UCUCUUCAUAAUCCUCCCAGUAUGAAUAUUCCAUUUGCUGUUUUCCAGUCAGAUGGUACCAGUUUUGGCUCAAAUUGUUUAUUAAAACAUUUUCUGCUGGACUGAUUCUAUCAUGCAACAUUUCUUGUACAAUUUUGGGAUGGAGAUUAUUUAGUUGCGCUAACGUGCUACUAUCUUAUUUAUUUUCAAAUCAGAUCAAUACAUUUCUGUUGCAGGUUCUUGUUCCCAGUGAUUAUUUUGCUUCCAUAUUUUGUAACUGUGUUCUCCCUGAAAAUUGGUAGAAAUUCAUUAGGAUUUUGAAAUCUACCCAGAGAAGCUUCUGCGUUUUUUGAAAGAUGCAUGAUUCUAAACAUUAUUUUUUCUUCUUCUACAGAAUUAUACCAGCAUAGUUUGAUAGUAGACAUCUCUAUAAGUACACUAUCACAAAGUUCACAUAAACUACCACAACUCCAAAUUCAUCUGAUUGUUUUCUUUAGUGAAUUUAAGAAAAAAUAAAUAAAUAUCAAACUAUACCCAUCUGAAACAGAAGUCUGACAAGGAACCUAAAUUCAUCUUGGGGUUCCUAUAAGAAAGCUUACUAAAUCUGUUGACACAAUCCUUUCAAAUGUUUUGUAGAAAACAGGGAUAAAAUGGAUUCCUAUUUUCCAAAGACUUUGUACGUUUUAACUAAAACAAUAUAUUUGUAGAUAUAUAUAUACAAAACUUUAUUGAUGUUACCUGAAAAAUUUAAUUCAUCAAAUCAUUUUAUAUACUUGAUUAAUAUAUAGAAACAAAGAUUUGUAUUCAGAAAUAUGCUCAAGCCUAAGAAAAUAAUUGAAAUAGUAAUAUAUUAAUAAAUAUUACUGGUAUAACAUAAUUCAAAGAAAAUAUGUCUAAUUAUACAGCCAAUGAUAAAAAGAAAGGAAGAAAAUUGAAAGGGAAAGGGGAAAGGAAGCAUAUGCAAAUCCUAGAUCAAAUUCAUCCUUUACUCCAUAUUGUAACUUAUCUUUAUCUUUACUCUGAUUGACAACUACAGGCUUUCCAGGCUGGAUGUGGCUCUGGGCAGCCUAGUCUAGUGGUUGGCGACCCUGCACAUAGCAGGGGGGUUGAAACCUGAUGAUCAUUGUGGUCCUUUUCAACCCAGGCCAUUCUAUGAUUCUAUGAUUUAUUUUUAGGUACUGUGAUAUGACCAUUAGGCAGACAGCCCUAGAGGGAAAUAAUAGAAGUCCAAUAUUUUCUGGCUUAAUGUAAGUGUGCUCAUGGUAUUUCCAAACCUUGUUGUUAGAUAGGGAUGUAGGCUACAAUAUUCAGUAUAUUUUCAAGCAGAACCCAGAAGUGUAAAGUAAAAGUUAAAUUUUAAGUUAUAGAGAUAAUAAGGUUGCAUGAAAAUCUUCAAGAUGUUGCACUCCAUCAAAAUUCUGCAUGAGCAGAGCAGAAGUAUCUUUUAUUGCCACUGUGAAAAGCAAUGAGAAGUACAAGACAAGCCAACAAAACCUAAAACUUUGCAGCACAAUUGCGACUUGAAGCUUUGUGAACAUGAUAUCUAUCACAUAGAGUAUCCAAUUCAAGAGUAUUUAUAAAAUGAUACAUUCAGCCUCUGUUCAAGAGCAUUAUAAUUUGCAAGGAACUGAGUUUCUUAUGUAGAAUUUCAAAGGUAGCUCCACUUUCUCACAGAUUAAUCUGGAACAAACUAAAACUUCAGGCAAGCUUGGAUCCAGCACCUAAACCAUUUAAGAUGCAAAGGUGGGAAUCAAAGCACAGCAGUAAUAUAAAAUUAAGAAAGCAAUGCCAUGGCAGGUAGUUCCUGUUUUUUUACCACCUAUUUUCAGCCUGACAAGGCUACUACUAGUACAAUUUUAAUAGCUCAGUGAUUUUAACAGACACGAAGAACCAAAAGAAAGCAGCAUUUCUGUGUUUCAUCUUAUUUUACAUAAAUAUCAUGUCAAAACUACUCUUCAGGUGAAAACUUAAAGACAACUGAUAUUUUUUGGUAGACAAAAGAAAAGCUUGAUAAACUUCUGGGCACUCAGCUCUUCUUCAGGAUUGCAGAAAAACAGUGGCCCAUUUUU